UACGGGGGGAGCAAGCGUUGUUCGGAUUUACUGGGCGUAAAGGGCGCGUAGGCGGUCAGCACAAGUCAGUUGUGAAAUCUCCGGGCUUAACUCGGAAAGGUCAACUGAUACUGUGCGACUAGAGUGCAGAAGGGGCAACUGGAAUUCUCGGUGUAGCGGUGAAAUUCGUAGAUAUCGGGAGGAACACCUGUGGCGAAGGCGGCCAUCUGAACGGUCACUGACACUGAGACGCGAAAGCGUGGGUAGCAAACAGG
rnacentral:rRNA from 1 species